CGAACGGGUGAGUAACACGUGGGCAACCUGCCCAAAAGAGGGGGAUAACACUUGGAAACAGGUGCUAAUACCGCAUAACCAUAGUUACCGCAUGGUAACUAUGUAAAAGGUGGCUAUGCUACCGCUUUUGGAUGGGCCCGCGGCGCAUUAGCUAGUUGGUGGGGUAAAGGCUUACCAAGGCAAUGAUGCGUAGCCGAAUGAGAGGUUGAUCGGCCACAUUGGGACUGAGACACGGCCCAAACUCCUACGGGAGGCAGCAG
rnacentral:rRNA from 1 species